UUGCACAGAGCAAAAAUGCCACUGUGGCUAAAAUUGUUGUCGUUACUUGCAAUCCUCCAUGGUGUCAAGUCUCAAGUACAGUUGGUGGAGUCUGGAGGGGAUAUGAGAAGACCUGAAGAGUCUCUCCGUCUCUCCUGCCAAGCCUCUGGUUUCAGCUUCAGCAACUAUGCAAUGAGCUGGGUGAGACAGGCUCCAGGGAAAGGACUGGAAUGGGUUACAAGCAUGGGUACAACUUCCACUUACUACUCAGACAAAGUGAAAGGACGCUUCACCAUUUCCAGGGAUGAUGCCAAAAGCCAGCUGUAUCUGCAAAUGAACAAUCUGAAAGAAGAGGACACAGCUGUCUAUUACUGUGCGAGAGACACAGUGAGAGGAA